rnacentral:rRNA from 1 species
UACAGAGGGUGCAAGCGUUAUUCGGAAUUAUUGGGCAUAAAGCGCAUGUAGGUGGUUUGAUAAGUCUGAUGUGAAAUCCCCGGACUCAAUUCGGGAAGUGCAUUGGAUACUGUCAGGCUAGAGUAUGGGAGAGGUGAGCGGAAUUCCAGGUGUAGAGGUGAAAUUCGUAGAUAUCUGGAGGAACAACAGAGGCGAAGGCGGCCCACUGGACCAUUACUGACACUGAGAUGCGAAAGCGUGGGGAGCAAACAGG